rfam:Enterobacter sp. 638, complete genome.
UACUGACAUCAGCGAUUCGUUUUGGGAACCGUUGCCGACCGCAAGGUACGAGUGCAUCCCCAGCUCUUUCAUCUGCUGUUCGCCGAUGACGCGGGUCACGAUAUUUUUGCUGUACGAAUCCGCCAAUUGACGUGCCUGAGAAGCCAGGUAGCCCGCGUUACAGAUAUUCGGCGGCAUAUUGCCGAGAUCUUUUGC